rnacentral:rRNA from 1 species
UUAAGUUAGAAAGGGCGCACGGUGGAUGCCUUGACACUAGGAGUCGAUGAAGGACGGGACUAACGCCGAUAUGCUUCGGGGAGCUGUAAGUAAGCUUUGAUCCGAAGAUUUCCGAAUGGGGAAACCCACCAUACGUAAUGGUAUGGUAUCCUUAUCUGAAUACAUAGGGUAAGGAAGACAGACCCAGGGAACUGAAACAUCUAAGUACCUGGAGGAAGAGAAAGCAAAUGCGAUUUCCUGAGUAGCGGCGAGCGAAACGGAACAUAGCCCAAACCAAGAGGCUUGCCUCUUGGGGUUGUAGGACAUUCUAUACGGAGUUACAAAGGAACGAGGUAGACGAAGCGACCUGGAAAGGUCCGUCGUAGAGGGUAACAACCCCGUAGUCGAAACUUCGUUCUCUCUUGAAUGUAUCCUGAGUACGGCGGAACACGUGAAAUUCCGUCGGAAUCUGGGAGGACCAUCUCCCAAGGCUAAAUACUCCCUAGUGAUCGAUAGUGAACCAGUACCGUGAGGGAAAGGUGAAAAGCACCCCGGAAGGGGAGUGAAAGAGAUCCUGAAACCGUGUGCCUACAAAUAGUCAGAGCCCGUUAAUGGGUGAUGGUGUGCCUUUUGUAGAAUGAACCGGCGAGUUACGAUCCCGUGCGAGGUUAAGCUGAAGAGGCGGAGCCGCAGCGAAAGCGAGUCUGAAUAGGGCGUUUAGUACGUGGUCGUAGACCCGAAACCAGGUGAUCUACCCAUGUCCAGGGUGAAGUUCAGGUAACACUGAAUGGAGGCCCGAACCCACGCACGUUGAAAAGUGCGGGGAUGAGGUGUGGGUAGCGGAGAAAUUCCAAUCGAACCUGGAGAUAGCUGGUUCUCCCCGAAAUAGCUUUAGGGCUAGCCUUAAGUGUAAGAGUCUUGGAGGUAGAGCACUGAUUGGACUAGGGGUCCUCAUCGGAUUACCGAAUUCAGUCAAACUCCGAAUGCCAAUGACUUAUCCUUAGGAGUCAGACUGCGAGUGAUAAGAUCCGUAGUCAAAAGGGAAACAGCCCAGACCGCCAGCUAAGGUCCCAAAGUGUGUAUUAAGUGGAAAAGGAUGUGGAGUUGCUUAGACAACUAGGAUGUUGGCUUAGAAGCAGCCACCAUUUAAAGAGUGCGUAAUAGCUCACUAGUCGAGUGACUCUGCGCCGAAAAUGUACCGGGGCUAAAUACACCACCGAAGCUGCGGAUUGAUACCAAUGGUAUCAGUGGUAGGGGAGCGUUCUAAGGACAGUGAAGUCAGACCGGAAGGACUGGUGGAGUGCUUAGAAGUGAGAAUGCCGGUAUGAGUAGCGAAAGACGGGUGAGAAUCCCGUCCACCGAAUGCCUAAGGUUUCCUGAGGAAGGCUCGUCCGCUCAGGGUUAGUCAGGACCUAAGCCGAGGCCGACAGGCGUAGGCGAUGGACAACAGGUUGAUAUUCCUGUACCACCUCUUUAUCGUUUGAGCAAUGGAGGGACGCAGAAGGAUAGAAGAAGCGUGCGAUUGGUUGUGCACGUCCAAGCAGUUAGGCUGAUAAGUAGGCAAAUCCGCUUAUCGUGAAGGCUGAGCUGUGAUGGGGAAGCUCCUUAUGGAGCGAAGUCUUUAUUCCCCGCUGCCAAGAGAAGCUUCUAGCGAGAUAAAAGGUGCCUGUACCGCAAACCGACACAGGUAGGCGAGGAGAGAAUCCUAAGGUGUGCGAGAGAACUCUGGUUAAGGAACUCGGCAAAAUGACCCCGUAACUUCGGGAGAAGGGGUGCUUUCUUAACGGAAAGCCGCAGUGAAUAGGCCCAAGCGACUGUUUAGCAAAAACACAGCUCUCUGCGAAGCCGUAAGGCGAAGUAUAGGGGGUGACACCUGCCCGGUGCUGGAAGGUUAAGGAGAGGGGUUAGCGUAAGCGAAGCUCUGAACUGAAGCCCCAGUAAACGGCGGCCGUAACUAUAACGGUCCUAAGGUAGCGAAAUUCCUUGUCGGGUAAGUUCCGACCCGCACGAAAGGUGUAACGAUUUGGGCACUGUCUCAACCAGAGACUCGGUGAAAUUAUAGUACCUGUGAAGAUGCAGGGUACCCGCGACAGGACGGAAAGACCCCGUGGAGCUUUACUGUAGCCUGAUAUUGAAUUUUGGUACAGUUUGUACAGGAUAGGCGGGAGCCUUUGAAACCGGAGCGCUAGCUUCGGUGGAGGCGCUGGUGGGAUACCGCCCUGACUGUAUUGAAAUUCUAACCUACGGGUCUUAUCGACCCGGGAGACAGUGUCAGGUGGGCAGUUUGACUGGGGCGGUCGCCUCCUAAAGUGUAACGGAGGCGCCCAAAGGUUCCCUCAGAAUGGUUGGAAAUCAUUCGUAGAGUGCAAAGGCAUAAGGGAGCUUGACUGCGAGACCUACAAGUCGAGCAGGGACGAAAGUCGGGCUUAGUGAUCCGGUGGUUCCGCAUGGAAGGGCCAUCGCUCAACGGAUAAAAGCUACCCCGGGGAUAACAGGCUUAUCUCCCCCAAGAGUCCACAUCGACGGGUAGGUUUGGCACCUCGAUGUCGGCUCAUCGCAUCCUGGGGCUGUAGUCGGUCCCAAGGGUUGGGCUGUUCGCCCAUUAAAGCGGUACGCGAGCUGGGUUCAGAACGUCGUGAGACAGUUCGGUCCCUAUCCGUCGUGGGCGUAGGAAAUUUGAGAGGAGCUGUCCUUAGUACGAGAGGACCGGGAUGGACGCACCGCUGGUGUACCAGUUGUUCUGCCAAGGGCAUAGCUGGGUAGCUAUGUGCGGAAGGGAUAAGUGCUGAAAGCAUCUAAGCAUGAAGCCCCCCUCAAGAUGAGAUUUCCCAUAGCGUAAGCUAGUAAGAUCCCUGAAAGAUGAUCAGGUUGAUAGGUUCGAGGUGGAAGCAUGGUGACAUGUGGAGCUGACGAAUACUAAUAGAUCGAGGACUUAACCAU